CCUACGGGAGGCAGCAGUGAGGAAUAUUGGUCAAUGGGCGCGAGCCUGAACCAGCCAAGUAGCGUGAAGGAUGACUGCCCUACGGGUUGUAAACUUCUUUUGUAAAGGAAUAAAGUGCGGCACGUGUGCCUUUUUGUAUGUACUUUAUGAAUAAGGAUCGGCUAACUCCGUGCCAGCAGCCGCGGUAAUACGGAGGAUCCGAGCGUUAUCCGGAUUUAUUGGGUUUAAAGGGAGCGUAGAUGGGUUGUUAAGUCAGUUGUGAAAGUUUGCGGCUCAACCGCAAAAUUGCAGUUGAAACUGGCAGGCUGGAGUACAGUAGAGGUGGGCGGAAUUCGUGGUGUAGCGGUGAAAUGCUUAGAUAUCACGAAGAACUCCGAUUGCGAAGGCAGCUUACUGGACUGCAACUGACACUGAGGCUCGAAAGUGUGGGUAGCAAACAGGAUUAGAUACCCGGGUAGUC
rnacentral:rRNA from 1 species